UGGGGAAUAUUGCACAAUGGGCGAAAGCCUGAUGCAGCAACGCCGCGUGCGGGAAGAAGGCCCUAGGGUUGUAAACCGCUUUCAGCAGGGAAGAAAAUGACGGUACCUGCAGAAGAAGGUGCGGCUAACUACGUGCCAGCAGCCGCGGUAAUACGUAGGGACCAAGCGUUGUUCGGAUUUACUGGGCGUAAAGGGCGCGUAGGCGGCAUGACAAGUCACUUGUGAAAUCUCUGGGCUUAACCCAGAACGGCCAAGUGAUACUGUCGCGCUAGAGUGCAGAAGGGGCAAUCGGAAUUCUUGGUGUAGUGGUGAAAUGCGUAGAUAUCAAGAGGAACACCUGAGGUGAAGACGGGUUGCUGGGCUGACACUGACGCUGAGGCGCGAAAGCCAGGGGAGCAAACGGGGAUU
rnacentral:rRNA from 1 species